AACGAACGCUGGCGGCAGGCUUAACACAUGCAAGUCGAGCGCCCCGCAAGGGGAGCGGCAGACGGGUGAGUAACACGUGGGAAUCUACCCAUCCCUGCGGAACAACUCCGGGAAACUGGAGCUAAUACCGCAUACGCCCUUCGGGGGAAAGAUUUAUCGGGGAUGGAUGAGCCCGUGUUGGAUUAGCUAGUCGGUGGGGUAACGGCCUACCAAGGCGACGAUCCAUAGCCGGUCUGAGAGGAUGAGCAGCCACAUUGGGACUGAGACACGGCCCAAACUCCUACGGGAGGCAGCAGUGGGGAAUAUUGGACAAUGGGCGCAAGCCUGAUCCAGCCAUGCCGCGUGAAUGAUGAAGGCCUUAGGGUUGUAAAGUUCUUUCACCGAUGAAGAUAAUGACGGUAGUCGGAGAAGAAGCCCCGGCUAACUUCGUGCCAGCAGCCGCCGUAA
rnacentral:rRNA from 1 species